rnacentral:misc_RNA from 1 species
AACGCCACGCGCGUCGAGCUCUCGCGAGCCUUCCGGAGCGCAUCGAUCAGCCGCUGACGGCCAUCGGGGCUAUAGAGCGACAGCGUGACGCCCGAGAGAUAGAUCAGAUCAUAGCUUGCCAGCGCCGCCAGGAUUGCAUCGGUCUGCGGCAAAUCGAGCAGCAUCCGCGCCGCCGCGCUCUCGCGCCAGUAGUAGAAUGACCGUUCACCCGCCUCGCUGGUCC